UGAGUUGGGUAGAUGAUCGCGUUUCGAGAAAUCGGGAUGAGGAAAGUCCGGACUCCGCAGGGCGGGAUGCUGGGUAACGCCCAGGAGCGGCGACGCUAUGGAAAGUGCAACAGAGAGCAGACUACAACGCACCACGCGUUGUACAGGUGAAACGGUGCGGUAAAAGCGCACCAGUCCCGAUGGUGACAUCGGGAGCUUGGCAAACCCCAUCUGGAGCAAGGCUAAAUAGGAGGACAUUGCAGGCGCGCCCGCCUCGUCCUCGGGUAAAGCCGCUUGAGGUCGGUGGCAACAUCGAUCCCAGAUGAAUGACCAUCGCCCUGAUGAGCGAAAGCGAGUCGGGGAACAGAAUCCGGCUUAUUCCCAGCUCAGGCG
rnacentral:RNase_P_RNA from 1 species